GCUUAGCGUAAGCGAAGGUAUGAAUUGAAGCCCCAGUAAACGGCGGCCGUAACAAUAACGGUCCUAAGGUAGCGAAAUUCCUUGUCGGGUAAGUUCCGACCUGCACGAAUGGAGUAACGAUUUCCCUACUGUCUCCACCAUGAACUCGGUGAAAUUGCAUUACGAGUAAAGAUGCUCGUUACGCGCAGCAGGACGGAAAGACCCCGGGACCUUCACUAUAGCUUGGUAUUGGUGAUCGGGACGGCUUGUGUAGGAUAGGUGGGAGACUUUGAAGCAUUCACGCCAGUGAGUGUGGAGUCAACGUUGAAAUACCACUCUGGUCGUUCUGGUUAUCUAACCUAGGUCCAUUAUCUGGAUCAGGGACAGUGCCUGAUGGGUAGUUUGACUGGGGCGGUCGCCUCCUAAAGGGUAACGGAGGCGCCCAAAGGUUCCCUCAGCCUGGUUGGCAAUCAGGUGUUGAGUGUAAGUGCACAAGGGAGCUUGACUGUGAGACUGACACGUCGAGCAGGGACGAAAGUCGGGACUAGUGAUCUGACGGUGGCUUGUGGAUGCGCCGUCACUCAACGGAUAAAAGGUACCCCGGGGAUAACAGGCUGAUCUUGCCCGAGCGCUCAUAGCGACGGCAUGGUUUGGCACCUCGAUGUCGGCUCAUCGCAUCCUGGGGCUGUAGUCGGUCCCAAGGGUAUGGCUGUUCGCCAUUUAAAGUGGUACGCGAGCUGGGUUCAGAACGUCGUGAGACAGUUCGGUCCCUAUCUGCCAUGGGCGUUGGAGAUUUGAGAGGGGCUGCUCCUAGUACGAGAGGACCGGAGUGGACGAACCUCUGGUGUUCGGGUUGUCACGCCAGUGGCACUGCCCGGUAGCUAUGUUCGGAAGCGAUAACCGCUGAAAGCAUCUAAGCGGGAAGCCUGUUCCAAGAUGAGGUUUCUCACCACCUUCGCGUGGUUAAGGCCCCCCACAGACCAUGGGGUUGAUAGGCCGGAACUGGAAGCGCAGCAAUGCGUGCAGGUGACCGGUACUAAUCGGCC
rnacentral:rRNA from 1 species